rnacentral:rRNA from 1 species
UUAGUUACCAGCACGUUAUGGUGGGCACUCUAAGGAGGACUGCCGGUGACAACCGGAGGAAGGUGGGGAUGACGUCAAGUCAUCAUGGCCCUUACGGCCUGGGCUACACACGUGCUACAAUGGUCGGUACAAAGGGUUGCCAAGCCGCGAGGUGGAGCUAAUCCCAUAAAACCGAUCGUAGUCCGGAUCGCAGUCUGCAACUCGACUGCGUGAAGUCGGAAUCGCUAGUAAUCGUGAAUCAGAAUGUCACGGUGAAUACGUUCCCGGGCCUU